rnacentral:snRNA from 1 species
GUACUUGUUUUGUCAGUACAUAUUGGAACAACACAGAAAAGAUUGGCAUGGCCCCUGCACAAAGAUGAUGUGGAACUUUGUGAAGCAUUCCAUACUUUU